UACGAAGGGGACUAGCGUUGUUCGGAAUUACUGGGCGUAAAGCGCACGUAGGCGGAUUUGUUAGUCAGGGGUGAAAUCCCGGGGCUCAACCUCGGAACUGCCUUUGAUACUGCAAGUCUCGAGUCCGAUAGAGGUGGGUGGAAUUCCUAGUGUAGAGGUGAAAUUCGUAGAUAUCGGGAGGAACACCGGUGGCGAAGGCGGCGACCUGGGUCGAGACUGACGCUGAGGCGCGAAAGCGUGGGGAGCAAACAGG
rnacentral:rRNA from 1 species